CUCCCAUCUAAAAAGACCUGCCAACCCUCCUGAUUUCAGGUCUUCACUUCUGCCAUAUGACUCAAAGAUCAGAGACUAAGAAACCAGGAGAUCUAUUAAAGGGCCUUCAAAACACACUGACAACUAUUGACAUGUCUCCUAUUUUAUGCCCCAGAAUAUUAAAAGAGAAAAGAAGAGAAUUGUAUAUGAUUUUCUCAGCCAUGAUGUUAAUUGCCUUAAAAGGAAGUUAUGCACCCAAUGAAGAAUGGAGCCAUCCAAGUGGCCUGAAGCUAAGGAAUUCAGGU
rnacentral:lncRNA from 1 species